rnacentral:rRNA from 1 species
CCUACGGGUGGCUGCAGUGAGGAAUAUUGGUCAAUGGGCUGACGCCUGAACCAGCCAAGUAGCGUGCGGGAUGAAUGCCCUACGGGUCGUAAACCGCUUUUGCACGGGGAUAACGCCCGCCACGUGUGGCGGGCUUCAGGUAACCUGCGAAUAAGGGCCGGCCUAAUCCGGGCCAAGAGGCCGGGGUAAUACGGAGGCCGCGAGCGUAAUCCGGAUUUAUGGGGUUAAAGGGGGGCGUAGGCGGCGUGCCAAGUCAGCGGUAAAAUCGCGCGGCUCAACCGCGCCCCGCAGUUGAAACUGGACGCCUUGAGUGGACAACAGGCAGGCGGAAUUCGUGGUGUAGCGGUGAAAUGCAUAGAUAUCACGAGGAACCCCGAUUGCGAAGGCAGCCUACCGGGGUGCGACUGACGCUGAGGCUCGAAGGUGCGGGUAUCAAACAGGAUUAGAUACCCCGGUAGUC